CCUACGGGAGGCAGCAGUGGGGAAUAUUGCACAAUGGGCGCAAGCCUGAUGCAGCCAUGCCGCGUGUGUGAAGAAGGCCUUCGGGUUGUAAAGCACUUUCAGCGGGGAGGAAGGCGGUGAGGUUAAUAACCUCAUCGAUUGACGUUACCCGCAGAAGAAGCACCGGCUAACUCCGUGCCAGCAGCCGCGGUAAUACGGAGGGUGCAAGCGUUAAUCGGAAUUACUGGGCGUAAAGCGCACGCAGGCGGUCUGUCAAGUCGGAUGUGAAAUCCCCGGGCUCAACCUGGGAACUGCAUUCGAAACUGGCAGGCUAGAGCCUUGUAGAGGGGGGUAGAAUUCCAGGUGUAGCGGUGAAAUGCGUAGAGAUCUGGAGGAAUACCGGUGGCGAAGGCGGCCCCCUGGACAAAGACUGACGCUCAGGUGCGAAAGCGUGGGGAGCAGACAGGAUUAGAUACCCGGGUAGUC
rnacentral:rRNA from 1 species